UAAAAUGAGAGUUUGAUCCUGGCUCAGGACGAACGCUGGCGGCGUGCCUAAUACAUGCAAGUCGAACGAAACUUUCUUACACCGAAUGCUUGCAUUCACCGUAAGAAGUUGAGUGGCGGACGGGUGAGUAACACGUGGGUAACCUGCCUAAAAGAAGGGGAUAACACUUGGAAACAGGUGCUAAUACCGUAUAUCUCUAAGGAUCGCAUGAUCCUUAGAUGAAAGAUGGUUCUGCUAUCGCUUUUAGAUGGACCCGCGGCGUAUUAACUAGUUGGUGGGGUAACGGCCUACCAAGGUGAUGAUACGUAGCCGAACUGAGAGGUUGAUCGGCCACAUUGGGACUGAGACACGGCCCAAACUCCUACGGGAGGCAGCAGUAGGGAAUCUUCCACAAUGGACGCAAGUCUGAUGGAGCAACGCCGCGUGAGUGAAGAAGGUCUUCGGAUCGUAAAACUCUGUUGUUAGAGAAGAACACGAGUGAGAGUAACUGUUCAUUCGAUGACGGUAUCUAACCAGCAAGUCACGGCUAACUACGUGCCAGCAGCCGCGGUAAUACGUAGGUGGCAAGCGUUGUCCGGAUUUAUUGGGCGUAAAGGGAACGCAGGCGGUCUUUUAAGUCUGAUGUGAAAGCCUUCGGCUUAACCGGAGUAGUGCAUUGGAAACUGGAAGACUUGAGUGCAGAAGAGGAGAGUGGAACUCCAUGUGUAGCGGUGAAAUGCGUAGAUAUAUGGAAGAACACCAGUGGCGAAAGCGGCUCUCUGGUCUGUAACUGACGCUGAGGUUCGAAAGCGUGGGUAGCAAACAGGAUUAGAUACCCUGGUAGUCCACGCCGUAAACGAUGAAUGCUAGGUGUUGGAGGGUUUCCGCCCUUCAGUGCCGCAGCUAACGCAAUAAGCAUUCCGCCUGGGGAGUACGACCGCAAGGUUGAAACUCAAAGGAAUUGACGGGGGCCCGCACAAGCGGUGGAGCAUGUGGUUUAAUUCGAAGCAACGCGAAGAACCUUACCAGGUCUUGACAUC
rnacentral:rRNA from 1 species